CAGUGAGGUUUGGGCUACUCUACCUGAUCAUGACUACGACGUGAGGCCCCUUUCUGUGGAAGACCAGCUUGACGCAGUAAAGAAACGCAUCGCUUUCGUGGAGGACGGAAAUAAAAAGCUGAAAAGUGAAAACUGACUGAAUAUGGCCACUGGUGAACAAGCAAGUUUUUACCCAAUACCAAAGCGCCCACGGGUGGAGUGCAUUAUCCACUGUUCUGAUGAUACAGAUCAUAGGAGAUUUUGGUUACCUCCCCCAGUCCUCACUUUACAAUGCGGAUUGCUGAUUCAUCUCCAUCUGUUGUAUGUCUUUUUAGAGAGAUUUGGCUUUUAAUUGGUGAAGGCAGUAUGGAACAAAUAUUGCUUCCCCUGGUUGAGACCGCAAUCAAAGAGGACUCCACAUUUUUGAAAACUUAUUUAAUGCUAAGAUAGAUAUUUGUGAGAUUCAAAAGAUGUGCUUGGGAGGUCAGCUCAAACAGACUCAAAUGAAAAAUCAGAAAGUUGACACAGAUUUUGAGUUAUUCAACAUUUAGUCAAAUGUUUGCUAUGGUUUAAUGGCUCAAGGCUAAAACAUGUACAGUCUUCUUUAAAUCAUCUACACAGAAAUAGAAAGAAAUGUGUGUUAAUGUGUGUGCGUGUCUGUGUGACCAAGUUUUACACUACAGUAAUGGAAAGAACAGAUACUUUAUAUUGAAAAAGAAGUGGAAUUACUCAGUGCAAAACAAAACUGCUAGUCUAAGAUGAUAUAAUGUUGGUAAGUAGUAUCUGUAAUCUCCAGAAAAUCAGAGACCAUUGGUAAUCAAGAUGUUUGAAAAAGUAGUUUCAAAAACAGCUCUAUAGUUAGGUAGAACUUGAAAUGAAUGUAAUUACUAUGUGAUGAUAAAAUAAUUUGUAAUUGUUAUAGUGAAACAGCCUUUGCAUUGUUUAGAAAAUAUAUGGGCUCUUUUCAACUGAAUUAUCGCCAUAUUAUUUAUUAAACUAUGUCUCUAAUAAAUCAUUCCAAUUUUUAUUCAAAUGUUGAUCAAUAACUUUCUAUUUGUACCUAUUGCUUUAAACUAGAGUUUUCCAGUUUAUUGGAGUUCAUAAUUGUUA